rnacentral:rRNA from 1 species
CACGUAGGGCGCAAGCGUUGUCCGGAAUUAUUGGGCGUAAAGAGCUCGUAGGCGGUCUGUUACGUCUGCUGUGAAAACCCAGGGCUUAACCCUGGGCUUGCAGUGGAUACGGGCAGACUAGAGGCAGGUAGGGGAGAAUGGAAUUCCCGGUGUAGCGGUGAAAUGCGCAGAUAUCGGGAGGAACACCGGUGGCGAAGGCGGCUCACUGGCCCGGUACUGACGCUGAGGUGCGAAAGCGUGGGGAGCAAACAGG